GAUGACCGCUAGCGGCAGGCUUAACACAUGCAAGUCGAGGGGUAGGGCAGCAAUGCUUGAGACCUGCGCACGGGUGCGUAACGGCGUAUGCAAUCUACCUUUUGCAGACGGAUAGCCCAGAGAAAUCUGGAUUAAUACCUCAUAGUAUAAUGAAUUCGCAUGGAUUUAUUAUUAAAGUAACAACGGCAAAAGAUGAGCAUGCGUCCCAUUAACUAGAUGGUAAGGUAACGGCUUACCAUGGCGACGAUGGGUAGGGGUCCUGAGAGGGAGAUCCCCCACACUGGUACUGAGACACGGACCAGACUCCUACGGGAGGCAGCAGUGAGGAAUAUUGGACAAUGGGCGCAAGCCUGAUCCAGCCAUGCCGCGUGCAGGAUGACGGUCCUAUGGAUUGUAAACUGCUUUUGUACAGGAAGAAACCCUCGGACGUGUCCGAGAUUGACGGUACUGUAAGAAUAAGGAU
rnacentral:rRNA from 1 species